CAAACAAGAAAAAGAGGGGGCACAGUGAGAAGAGCAGAAAAAGGAAAGGUUAUGUCUCCAAGCCAAGAAACACCCAGAAUUGCUUGGAACCACCAGAAGCUAGGAGAGAGAUGAGACCACCGACCAAGAUGAACUAUCCUCAGUUCCAGUUCUCAAGGAGGAAUCCGAUAGACUCAGCUUGGUGUCAUUUCCGCGAAGCCCCAGAGGGAAAGUGCUGCACCAUCUCCAGGGCUGGAAUGCUGACAUCUGGUCGUUAUGCCCAACAGCCCUUGGACCGCUGCCCCCAAAGAAGCACCUUUGAUGAGACUGCACAAUGGCUCCCCAGAUGCCCAGCUCUGCAUUUCUGCUCCAAGCUUCUGCAGCGUGGAAUUAUCCUGGCCAGCAAGCACCCACGAGCACUCAUUUAGGAGACUGGGUCUGGCAAAUGGGUGGAAAGAAAAGAAGAAUGGCAGGGAAAACAGAUUUUUUUUCCCCAGAAAUGAGAAAGGAUGCUCCCCUAAGGGUUUCACUUAUUUUUUCCCCUACUGGCGAGAGAUGGAAGCUAAAUUUUUCA